GAUGAACGCUGGCGGCGUGCCUAAUACAUGCAAGUCGAGCGAACUGACGAGAAGCUUGCUUCUCUGAUGUUAGCGGCGGACGGGUGAGUAACACGUGGAUAACCUACCUAUAAGACUGGGAUAACUUCGGGAAACCGUAGCUAAUACCGGAUAAUAUUUUGAACCGCAUGGUUCAAAAGUGAAAGACGGUCUUGCUGUCACUUAUAGAUGGAUCCGCGCUGCAUUAGCUAGUUGGUAAGGUAACGGCUUACCAAGGCAACGAUGCAUAGCCGACCUGAGAGGGUGAUCGGCCACACUGGAACUGAGACACGGUCCAGACUCCUACGGGAGGCAGCAGUAGGGAAUCUUCCGCAAUGGGCGAAAGCCUGACGGAGCAACGCCGCGUGAGUGAUGAAGGUCUUCGGAUCGUAAAACUCUGUUAUUAGGGAAGAACAUAUGUGUAAGUAACUGUGCACAUCUUGACGGUACCUAAUCAGAAAGCCACGGCUAACUACGUG
rnacentral:rRNA from 1 species